rnacentral:lncRNA from 1 species
UUUUUUUUUCCAUAUUUUCUGUUUUGCAGAUUCUCCAAAAUUCUCCUGAUAACAUAAAGAUAUUUCUUUUUUAAUCGAUAUUGCCUGACGCUCUCCUGAUUUUUCUUCUAGCUUUCCGAUUACUUUUCUUAGUUUUGUUUGCAAGCUCUUUCUUUUCAUCAAAUUUCUGGAGUGUUGAGGACUUAUACUAGAUACCCUUCCCAUCUUUCUCAACUUUCUCCCAAAUCAUGCUCAUAGCUUUAAAUAUCAAUUUCUAUGUUGAUAACUCUCAGAUGUUUCAUUUCCACUUUGAGGUCUUAUAGGUAUUUUUCAAACUUGGCAUAUUAAAAAGAUAUUAUUUUCCACUAGUAAUCAAAUCCCUUUAAAAUCAGCCCUCCUUAUCUCAAUGAAUAACACAUAAUACCUUAUUUUUACUAUAUCAAUUUUAUUAAUAAGUCCUGUAGAUUUUAUCUCCAAAAUUAGCUCAAAUUAACUGAUUUUUUUUCUCCAUUUCCCUGCCAUCACUUCAGGUUUCUAUCAACUUUUACUUUGACCAUGUGCAGUGUCUUCUUAAGCAAUCUCUGCAUUUCCCAAAACAUAACUUCAUUUCCACACAGUGAUCAAGUCAGAGCAAUAUCUUAAAACUGUGUCUUUAAAGAUCUAUGGCUUAUGUAUGCCUUCUUGAUAAAAUUCAAGUACCUUGCCAUAGCCUACAAAGCCUUGUAUGCUUUUACACUUGUUUACUUACCCAAUACAAUCUACAACUACUUCUAAAUGCAUUUACUAUGCUGCAGCCAAGACAUUAAUGAUUUGAGGGAUCAUUCCCAGACAAAUUUUUGAGUGCCAAAACUAUAAAUGACAAAAAUAAGGUCAGCUCCAUUGAUAACAGUUUUACAAAUGAUAAGUUCAAUUUGACUUAGUUAAAUAUAUGAAGUUACCUUCUAUAAAGCAGUGUCUUCAAAAAUUAAAAUAGUGCUAGCUAGCUCUCAGGAAUCCUAUAGUCUAACAAAGAAUCUUCUAAGACUAGUAAGGAAGGCAAAUGGUAAAGCAUAUAGUAACUUCAAAAUACUGUCGCACAUGUUAAAACAGAAGUGACUUGGGAUCAUAGAAGAAAAAUAUUUUACCCCAUCUGGGUCAUGAUAUGUGGUUGUCAGCAAAACUGUUCUGGAAAAGGUAACAGCUGAGUUUAUUCUUAUAAAAAGACAUUGUUUUAUAUUUGUAUUAUUAUAAAGCCCACAUUUUAGGUACAUGGGAAAAUGUAAUGAAUUUGCAAAUUGAGUGGGUAAAUUAGAAUAUGAAACAAAGCAUUGCCAAGAAAAAAAGAAUUUCAUAAUCAAAGAUGCAAAUGUAGAAAAAAAUAUAAUAUGUGAAAUUUGGUUUUACAAAAUAUAAUGUCAGCAGUGUUAACAGCAGUUCAUUGCUAGAAAUGUCCAGUAAACAGGUGGAUACAUAAACAGAAUCUAAAUGUUAAAAGAGAGGGCAGAUCUGGACAUAAACAUUUGGGAGCCCAUAGCACAGAAAAUUUUAGGCAUUAAUAUGAGCAAAGUUAAGAGAAGACAAGAGAGCUAAGGACGGAACCUUGGGGAAUCAACAUUUAUUAUGUACAUACUAGGUAAGCCAAACGAUAAGGAGAAAAAAAAUCUGUGGCUAUAGACGCCUGGUAUGUCAUGUCUCUAAGAAAUCAGUAUAUGUAGAGGGACCUGGUAUACACAUACACACACACACACACACACACACACACACACCCUGGUUUGCCAUGAAAAGUCCUAGUUUAUGCCUGUUAAAAAUUCAACUAUUUAUUGAAUAUUAGUAUUUAUACAAAAACUAGAAUUUUUAAAAAUACAUGUAAAAUGACUUUUACAUACAUUAAUUAUUUUCAAAAACAGUUUAUGUUUUAUAAGGAAAUCAGGAGUUCUACCACAAGAUUUAGGUAUAGCAGAGGAUGAACAUUUGAAUUAUCUGAUAUCUACUUUCCUUAUCCCAUCAGCUUAUUCUUUCCUCUUUCCCUUUUACUGACACAUUUUAUCUGCUUAAUAGCCUUUUUUGCUUCACCUAUGUAUCACCUGACAGUGGCAUCAAGGGUCUUUAUUAGAUCCGGCUGACAGCAUUAAGUGCCAAAACAGGGACUAUGAUAAUUUAUGAGGUUGCAAAGUGAAUUUUCUAUACAAACAAGUAUAAAGUCUACAUGUAUUACAGCUUUGAAAUGGUGACACUUUUUUUCUGCUUCUUUCAUAUUAUUCCAAGAGAAAAGUAAUAAUCACAAAAGUCACCCAUAUACAAGUUCAAAUCUGUCAGGUAGAUUAGUGAUCUGAUAUAUAAGCAGUUUCUGUAUGACCUGGAAUGACUUGAUUACCAGUAAAAACUUUUCAGUAAAAAUAGGCCCCCAAAUGGCAUUCUUCUUUGUGAAUUAGAAAACUGACAAUAAGUAUAAUACAAAUGAAAAGGCCUGAAGGUCACCUAUCUAUAUACACAAGGCAACCAAUACUGUAAGGGGCAUCGCCUUUGAAUAUGAAGGGCAGUGACAUAAAAUAUUGCAAAGAAACUGUCAAAACACUCAAAUAGAAAAGGAAAAUGUGACAUUAGGUAGUUUAGGUACUGCAUCUCUGAUCAAUGCUUCUGAUAGGAAAAUGCCUAAAGAUAGAAAUAAGCAUAUUUUCCAAACAUUGCUUGACACUGUUAUGGAUUAAUCCUUUACCUAAACUACUGAGUCACAUAAGAACAUAAUUUGUCUAAUUCUAUUUAAUACUCUUCUUUUGUAUAGCAAUUUUUUCAAUUUUCAGAAAAAAAUAGAAUUGCCGGAGUUCCUGUCGUGGUGCAUGGUUAACGAAUCCCAAUAGCAACCAUAAGGUUGCGGGUUCGGUCCCUGCUCUUGCUCAGUGGGUUAAAGAUGAUCCGGCGUUGCAGUGAGCUGUGGUGUGGGUCGCAGACGCGGCUAGGGCUAGGAUCCCACGUUGCUGUGGCUCUGGCAUAGGCCGGCGGCUACAGCUCCGAUUAGACCCCUAGCCUGGNNNNNNNNAAAAAAAAAAAAAAAAAAAAAAAAAAAGAAAGAAAGAAAAAGAAUUGCCUACUUGAAUUGUAGACUUAGAAGUAAAAGUUACUUGGUCACUGAUUUAAAGAGCAGUCACAAGAUUGAAAAAAAAAAAAGGUAUUAACAUAGUUUCUAGUUGCACAUUUAAUCUGGAAGACAAGAGCACAGUA